rnacentral:rRNA from 1 species
CAAGUCGAGCGGCAGCGGAAAGUAGCUUGCUACUUUGCCGGCGAGCGGCGGACGGGUGAGUAAUGUCUGGGAAACUGCCUGAUGGAGGGGGAUAACUACUGGAAACGGUAGCUAAUACCGCAUGACCUCGCAAGAGCAAAGUGGGGGACCUUCGGGCCUCACGCCAUCGGAUGUGCCCAGAUGGGAUUAGCUAGUAGGUGGGGUAAUGGCUCACCUAGGCGACGAUCCCUAGCUGGUCUGAGAGGAUGACCAGCCACACUGGAACUGAGACACGGUCCAGACUCCUACGGGAGGCAGCAGUGGGGAAUAUUGCACAAUGGGCGCAAGCCUGAUGCAGCCAUGCCGCGUGUGUGAAGAAGGCCUUCGGGUUGUAAAGCACUUUCAGCGAGGAGGAAGGCAGUCGUGUUAAU